UUGGGCGGCGUUUAGCAUUUGGAUAGAUGUGGAGGAGGGUGAAUGGGCGGGAUUUGUGGUAUGUCCGGGGCUGUUAUGUUUUAUUAAGUACCUUGUGCUUCACAAGAUCGACGUAUAGUCGAAGAAUUGAACCACGGACGCCUAUGUUAUAGGCAGCUUUGAAUGAGCCCACUCGCUGGGUCUACAUCACUGGGAUUUUCCACGGCUAGUUGAAAAUUCCCAGAGUUGGACAGGAUUUCCAAUAGUUCUUCCAUUUCGUGUCUGAUCGUGCAAGGGUUUACUUCUUGUUUCUACCGAGAUGAAGCGAUCACGGAGGAGCGGAAUUGUGGAAUGAUUUCGCUAUUCUAGAUCAAGAGUAUGCGAAAUGUGGUUUACGCCAAAAAGUCGUACAGAACCAGCACGACGAACUUGAAGAAACAAGUCGAAAGAUCGCAUAUAAUGGUGAACUUUGCGACAAAUUCUUCAAGAUCCGUCGACCCUGUGUUGCCUGAGCCAGGUGAAGCCUCUCCUGCAGCGUAGCUGCGAGAAGGAUGCACAACAGCAGCAGGACACUGGGGGAAGCAGUUCCCUCCACAUCACAGCAUCGGAUAGCCAUCAGGGAAUAUGUCCCCAAAAAGAUGGGACUGAUUCAAAGGAAGGUCGACAGCAAAUUAAUGGGUCUGUUUACAAAAGAGUAUCAACCCUUCUCUGUUGUAAAUGACCUGGUAUUCCGUAGUUUUGUCCGUGCACUGAAUCCCGCUUAUGAAAUCCCAAGUAGAAGGGCUGUAACGUAAGUAAUGUUGCCAGCAGCAUAUGCCGAAGCAAAUGAGAAAGUACAUAAAAAGCUGCUAGGUAUGAAGACAAUCUGAUUAACAACAGAUUGUUGGACAUCAGCUUACAAUGCCUAUGACUGGACACUUCAUAACUGAACACUUCAAAUUACAGUCUGUACUGCUGGAAUGCAGUCCUUUCAGAUAAACAUAGUCUUGGUGGCAAAAUUUUAAUGGCAGUCAGACAAUGCACCAAAUGUGAAAAAUGCAGUUUCCACCCUUCUCAAGUGAAAACAUUUUGGUUGUUAUGUCCGUAUGCUUAAUUUAGCUGUGCAAGAUGCGCUUAAUAACAUUCAGGAAGUCCACCAGAUAGUGAAGACAAUUGUAGGUUUUUUAAAAGAAUGAUAAGUGCAACAGAGUGGCUCUUAACAUGCCAACAGAACAGUGACAAAGUAAACAUUAAGAAAUUGAUACAGGGCUUGCCCACAAGAUGGAAUCCACCCUGUUUAUGUUGGAACAUCUUGUUGAAUUAUCAGAGGCAGUAAAAAUUACAGUUACCCUUUGUAACUGGCCCACAGAACUCCCAUCACUGUCAAAUGAUGAGUGGGAAAUCUGCUUCGAACUCUGUUCGAUUUUGAAACCAUUCGAACAGGUUUAGAGGCAGCUCAGUGGAGAAGACUAUCCGAGUCACAGCUUAGUUCUGACAUGUGACCUUCUGGCAGUGUGUGAUGGAGUUGCCAAAAUGCAGUUACAAGAAAUUUCAAUGAAAGUUGUUAAUGCACUGAAAGAGGGACUUACAACAGGUUUCAGAAUCUUCAGCAGAGCAAAUCCAUUGCCCUUGCCACUCUGCUGGAUCCACGGUUCACAUUGCUGGCAUUUCAGAACCAACAGCAGCAGAUGACACGAAGAAACAGUUAGUUUAUAUUGUUGCCCAGAAACUAGAAGAAUGUAGACCAGAAGGUAUUCAACCUUCACAACAACCUGCUGAGCCAAAUAAUCUGACAACCGAGUCCUUCUCUGUGUGGGGCAUAUUUGGUGAGUUAGUGAAACAUGCACGGCCACGGGGGACAGUACAGCCGUGCUAUUGUAGAGGUCCAAAGAUAUGUUGACAGCCAAGCCAUCAGUAGAAAUGAGGAUCCCCUGGCAUGGUGGAGACAAAAUCAGUACAUUUACCCAGCCACCGCAAAAGUAGUGCAAGAGAUUCAAUGUCGUUGCAACUUCUGCACCUUGUGAGAGGGUGUUUCCUAAUAACAGGAUAUUUAAUAAAUGAUAGAACCCAUUUCAAGCCAUCACAUAUGCAGAAACUAAUAUUUCUGAAUGUGAAUGGUACUUGUGAUUAGACACUGUUGCUGGUAAGUGACACAGCAUCAGAACACAGUACAGUCUUAAACUGUUCAUAAGCAGCAUUGUUGCUUUUGGUUACAUAGAGGUAACUAGGAACUUUCAACACAACCAAACAAGACUGCACAACUGUAUGAUUCCUAGCAAAAUGUAAAAUAUGUAACGGGUCACUUUCAACACAAAAAGACCUCGUAACUGUAUAAUUCCUAACAAAAUGUAAAAUAUCCCAGUAGGUUCACCUACUUCAUGGAAUGUACGGAAUAUGAUUAGUGAAUGGAAUAAAUCACCACUCUUUUGAAAUUGUGGUGGUUUGUGUACCUCAAGCCUCAUUGGUACACGUGUACACAGUGUGGAGGUGCAGUUUGAAUGCUUACUGCCUUGAAGAGGCGCCUGCAAACACCAGGAUCACGGUCUUGAGCUGCCUACCUACUAUGUGAAUGGAACACCUCAUUAGAUUAGUUGGUUACAUACUUCACCAUUGGACAACUUAAUAUUUCCUCAAAUGCAUGAGUUUUUAGUCACAGAACCGCAACACAAAUUCAGAACCACAACAGGAUUCCACAACCAAACGUUCUUUAUAUUCUGGGACAGUCACUAAGGAUAGGCCAUGACCAAUACCCAAGAUCACUGUUUGUUAUUUUACCAUCUGUGCCAAAUUAAUGUGUCUGGUAACAUAUUAAUGUUAAGGCUCUAUCAAUAAUAGUAUUGUAGAUACACUUCAACGAAAUCAAAUAGUUUACAUGCCACUGUGAAAAUUCAGUGUCAUAAUUUUUUUAUUAAAGUAGAUAGCACUUGUAUCUUGUGUGCAAUGGACGUGAUUUUUCAGUAUGACAUGUCAAAAGACCUGCAGUAAAAUAAAUUUGUUUAUUGCAAAA